GACGUAGGGGGCCAGCGUUGUUCGGAAUUACUGGGUGUAAAGGGUUCGUAGGCGGUGUGGCAAGUUGGGAGUGAAAUCUCUGGGCUCAACCCAGAGGCUGCUUCCAAAACUGCUGUGCUUGAGUGUGGGAGAGGCGCGUGGAAUUGCAGGUGUAGCGGUGAAAUGCGUAGAUAUCGGGAGGAACACCUGUGGCGAAAGCGGCGCACUGGACCACAACUGACGCUGAGGCGCGAAAGCUAGGGGAGCAAACAGG
rnacentral:rRNA from 1 species